UACGGAGGGUGCAAGCGUUAUCCGGAUUCACUGGGUUUAAAGGGUGCGUAGGUGGGUUGGUAAGUCAGUGGUGAAAUCUCCAGGCUUAACUUGGAAACUGCCAUUGAUACUAUCAAUCUUGAAUGCCGUGGAGGUCAGCGGAAUAUGUCAUGUAGCGGUGAAAUGCUUAGAUAUGACAUAGAACACCAAUUGCGAAGGCAGCUGGCUACACGAAUAUUGACACUGAUGCACGAAAGCGUGGGGAGCAAACAGG
rnacentral:rRNA from 1 species